UAGCGGUGAAAUGCGCAGAUAUCAGGAGGAACACCGGUGGCGAAGGCGGGACUCUGGGCUGUAACUGACACUGAGGAGCGAAAGCAUGGGGAGCGAACAGGAUUAGAUACCCUGGUAGUCCAUGCCGUAAACGUUGGGCACUAGGUGUGGGGGGCAUUCCACGUUCUCCGCGCCGUAGCUAACGCAUUAAGUGCCCCGCCUGGGGAGUACGGUCGCAAGGCUAAAACUCAAAGGAAUUGACGGGGGCCCGCACAAGCGGCGGAGCAUGCGGAUUAAUUCGAUGCAACGCGAAGAACCUUACCAAGGCUUGACAUACACCGGACCGUCCUGGAAACAGGUCCUCUUCUUUGAAGCUGGUGUACAGGUGGUGCAUGGUUGUCGUCAGCUCGUGUCGUGAGAUGUUGGGUUAAGUCCCGCAACGAGCGCAACCCUCGUUCUAUGUUGCCAGCACGUGAUGGUGGGAACUCAUAGGAGACUGCCGGGGUCAACUCGGAGGAAGGUGGGGAUGACGUCAAAUCAUCAUGCCCUUUAUGUCUUGGGCUUCACGCAUGCUACAAUGGCUGGUACAGAGAGAGGCGAACCCGUGAGGGCAAGCGAAUCCCUUAAAGCCAGUCUCAGUUCGGAUCGUAGUCUGCAAUUCGACUACGUGAAGUCGGAGUCGCUAGUAAUCGCAGAUCAGCAACGCUGCGGUGAAUACGUUCCCGGGCCUUGUACACACCGCCCGUCAAGUCACGAAAGUCGGUAACACCCGAAGCCGGUGGCCUAACCGUAA
rnacentral:rRNA from 1 species